CAGCACACCUACCUAGUCCCACUCAUCAAUGAAGACAGUAAUGAGAUCAUCUGCACACUCCACAGAGCUCCAGAGUUACUGUUCAUAGCAAAAGUGUAAUGCUGUCCUUGGAGAUUUUCACCUAAGACUGUGAGUGUGAGUGUGUAAUGGAUUUCAAAGUGUUUAAGUGUUCAGAGCACUCUACAGCCUGGUAAGGUGGCAAGUUUGAAAAGAGCAGCAGAAGGUAUCAGUACUGUAGUGUAACUUGUUCUUUUCCUUUCCUAACAGUGAACAGAGUGCCGAUUAUUAUCGACAGCUACGUCCACCCGGGGUGAAAGUAGUGUGGGAGACCAUCAGGACCCAGCUGGGUUUCCUUGGUCCAGAGGUUUGGAGAAACCUCUUCCUUUUCUUUCAUCACAGCUGUCCUGUGCCAGAUGUUCUGUUGACCCACUGAGAGAGGCGUGUUUGAGAAAGAUCAGGAAGACUGAAGCUCAUGGUAGGAAUGAAGGAGGACCUUGUGAGCUCCACCAGCAGCUCCCUCACAAGGAACUGUUCACAAGUCCACUGCAGGCACGCCCCAGAAGAUGGAUAAAGGCAGCGUUUCAUGAAGACACUGGAACCAAUCUAUCUUCAUAACAGCAGGAUAAAGACAUGGUGAUAAAUGAGUGUGUGGGCCGUCUGCUGAGGACCAGGAGCUCAGGACACUCAGACGGGGGCGUCGCAGCAGGAGUCACGCGCACCACAAUCCUCUGCUGUUCUGAGAUGUCACACUCCUGCCUGCACAUAGAAACCACAGUGAAGUCAAAGUUCCACCUGCACCUCCACCUGUUCUUGCAACAGCAUGAACACUGACAGAGGUGAGACAGCAGAAGAGUUUUUGUCUAUUUUUUGUUUUGUUUUGUUUUUUACUAAGUUACGGAAUUAAGUGAAGAAGAGUGAUUAAAUAAAUUGUUUCUUGCAGUUUUGAUUUAAUGAUUGUGUUUAGGAUUAUUUCAGAAACAUGUUUAGAGGAUCUUUGUAAGCCUGUAUUUCCUUUAAAAGAAGGGAAGCACUUCUUCAUUCUACAGAAAAGGUGACACAUUACAGAUGAGUUCAUAAAAAGUGUCACUGUCACUCUUUCAAGGCUCUGUCACUUUUUCUUUUUUACUGGAACAGCAUGGUAAAGUAGGCCUUGGCUGCCAUCUUGUGGCAGUGUGUUGUUACUACAACAUAUGAAAUUGUGUUUCUAUUGGAAAUAUAAUUCAGCGUCACCGAGCCGCUCUCUCAGUUACAAACUGAACCUGUUUUUUUAGACAUAUAAAUCACUAAGCACAGUGAAGCUUUUGGUUUUGUCAAAGUGUUUCAUAUUCAAAAUGCAUGUUGAUCUUUAUAAGGUUGAAGAGCAGUUAGCAGUACAUUGAUGGACAUCUUUAAACUAUUAAUUGAAGAAUCUUUGGUCAUGAUGGCAUGAACUAGAAACGUGAGCUCCAGGUGAGACUGCACAGAAGAACAAGUGUCCUUAAACAGCAUCAACUGAUGACUUCUUACAAUUUUACUCUUAUUCUAAUCUUAAUGUUUGGUUUAUUUCGGUGUUUGUUUGUUCCUGAGCAAAUCAGUUUGGCUGAGAUUAAAGUUCAGCUUCAUAACCAGACUGUUUUAUUUAAUUUUAAAGUCUUACUUGGAGAGCAGUGAGUAGAUUUUAAACUGAAUAUUUCACCUGUCGUAUCUCCUGAUGAAAAAUGUUCUCUUCUAAUGUAAACGGCAGACUCUGAAUUACAUUUAGCAUUAAAAUAUUUUAAUUCAGAAGGAACUAUUUUCACCAGGAGCAGAAACAGCACGUUAAUACUUGGAGAUCCCAAAGGCUGCUCCAGAAACGAUUAAAGUAUAUUUAAAAUAUUUGUUCAGUUCUUUUCCAAACCCCAGCAGCUUUCUGUUCUAAGUUUUGAGUCUCUACUAAAAUAAAAAUAAAAGCAUUGUAACCUCCAUCCAUCCAUUCACUUCCGCUUAUC